AAGUAAUGUUCAUUAAGUGUGCAGGCAGUGCAGGACGAAGCAUGCUCAGUGCAAAAAGCUUCGCUCCCCUGCCUGUCAAGCCUGAGGUUUGAACUCGUUCCAGAAUGCCGGAUUUACUUUUCAGGAAGAAACAGCACCUGGCUGGGCUGCGCUUUUCCCUUCCCUCCUCCUCCUCCUCGGAGUGCAAAUAAUGUUCUUUUGAUGCUUUCCUGCCAGUGGGAAUCUCGCCCUGGAGAAGGAGACAAAACUUUGCUACCUGUGAAACGAAGACUGCUUAGGUAGCAGUGGAAAUGAAAGCAAUUCUAUUUCCCACACAGGCUCCACACAUGACUAACUUCAGUGGGAAUUGCUCAUGAAAAAGAGAAAGGAUCACCUGGAUUCUUCUGGAGCUGGGAGCCAGGGCUGGAAAUCUCCAGGAAAGACCUGCCCAAGGCACAGGAAGAAGAUCUGAGCUCUGCAGAGGCUCCAUCACACCUGGAGCUUCAGGCAAGCACCACCUCCCCUGCUUGGAGCUUCCCUGCCGAGUGCUGGCGGCAGAUUGAGAGAGAAGGAAUAAACCCCAGCAUUUUAAAGCCACCCCGUGGAACAGAGGGGUCUGCCAGUGCUGGUGAAGUCUCUUUUGGGAAGCACACGGAAAAUCUGCCAUCCCAAAUCCAGCUGCUCCUUCCCCCUGGCAGCAGCCUGAGGAGGAGCUGUU